GACUUCUCUUUCCCGACGACCGCGAACGCGGAGCCCUGUCUCCGAGCCCAGAGCCCAGUCCGCGGGGGUUACGCAUUGUUCCAGUCUGUGACCCGGGCCGCUGGUUGGCCUCCGCUUUUUGCGCCGGGAGUGAGCUCGGCCGAGGGCCUGGACCGGGUCCUGGUUUUCCCGGGUCCUCUCAACAACGGUUCCCGGAUCUCCCGGGUUUCCAUUCUCGAGUCUCCGCACCCCUUGAUCUCCUUACCCCUCGGGCUCCUGCACCCCUCGGGCCCCGGCCUUGCCGAUGCCCUGCCAGCGGCGGGGAGCUCGCCACCCUGCCCUCCUCGGCUCCCACUCCGCUGGUGAAAAUCACAUUUUGAAGAUAGUAAUUAUCUACAAUCGUUAAAACGGCAGCAAUUAGAGACUUCAUCUACUUCCUGAGUUUCCGUGUGACAUUUUCUAUUGUUUACCCUUAAUAAACCAGGAGGGAGGCUUCGCAGGAUUAAAGCAGGGUACAAUGGUGCUUUACCUAAUGGUGACAGGGGCAGGAGGAAAAGCAGAUUUGCCCUCUAUAAGCGGACCUACGCCAGUGGUGUCAAACCCAGCACAAUCCACAUGGUCUCCACACCACAGGCGUCCAAGGCCAUCAGCUCCAGAGGACAUCACAGCAUAUCGUACACGUUGUCACGGAGCCAGACGGUAGUGGUGGAGUACACACACGAUAAAGACACAGACAUGUUUCAGGUGGGCAGGUCAACAGAAAGCCCCAUUGACUUCGUGGUCACAGACACGGUUUCCGGCGGUCAGAACGAAGAUGCCCAGAUCACACAGAGCACCAUCUCUAGGUUCGCAUGCAGGAUCGUGUGUGACAGGAACGAGCCAUACACAGCACGCAUAUUCGCGGCAGGAUUCGAUUCUUCCAAAAAUAUCUUUCUUGGAGAGAAAGCAGCAAAAUGGAAAAACCCUGAUGGACACAUGGAUGGACUCACUACCAACGGUGUCCUGGUGAUGCACCCGCAAGGAGGCUUCACCGAGGAAUCCCAGCCUGGAGUCUGGAGAGAGAUCUCUGUCUGUGGGGAUGUAUACACCUUGCGAGAGACCAGGUCGGCCCAGCAGAGGGGAAAGCUGGUGGAAAGUGAGACCAACGUCCUGCAAGACGGCUCCCUCAUUGACCUGUGUGGGGCCACUCUCCUCUGGAGAACCGCAGAUGGCCUUUUUCACGCUCCUACUCAGAAGCACAUAGAAGCCCUCCGGCAGGAGAUCAAUGCAGCCCGACCCCAGUGCCCCGUGGGCCUUAACACCCUGGCCUUCCCCAGCAUCAACCGGAAGGAAGUGGUGGAAGAGAAGCAGCCCUGGGCAUACCUGAGCUGCGGCCAUGUGCACGGCUACCACAGCUGGGGCCAUCGGAGCGACACGGAAGCCAACGAGAGGGAGUGUCCCAUGUGCAGGACUGUGGGCCCCUACGUCCCUCUCUGGCUGGGCUGUGAGGCAGGAUUUUAUGUCGAUGCGGGACCCCCAACUCACGCUUUCACCCCCUGCGGGCACGUCUGUUCAGAGAAGUCUGCCAAGUACUGGUCGCAGAUCCCACUGCCCCACGGAACGCACGCGUUUCACGCCGCCUGUCCGUUCUGCGCCACGCAGCUGGUUGGUGAACAGAACUGCAUCAAAUUGAUUUUCCAAGGUCCAGUGGACUGACACCCUGGACGGCCAUCUCCACGGCAUUAACACGUUACUGUGAAGAUUCCGCCACUAACUGUAGAUUCUACCUUUUUGUAAUGCUGUUUGUUAAGGGGAAGGCGGACUGGGUUGGGAAAUGGGGGCUGGUGACGAAAUGUGGCAGGCGCUGACAGAUACCACUGUGUUUUGCAUGCUCAGAACAGCAGCAUCAGCAUCGUCACUGAGGUCUGCCUGAUUAAACUUUAAUACCUGUGUAAUAAUUGGAUCUCAACUGCCAUGCUUUUCUUUUUAACUUUAGGUUUUUAACCAGAUUUUUUCCCCCUUUGUAAACUUGGGUAAGAUUUUACAAAUGUAGAAGAAAUGUACUCAGCAAAUGUCUCUUAGAGCACAGCCUGCAGAGCCAUGUGGCACAAGUGCCACACAUCCUAUGAUGUUCAGUGGCUGUGAAUACUUGACAGUGGCUAGAAUCUGACCCAAUACCUAAGGGCCACCUCUGUCAGCCCUGCCACAAACACCCGUGGACAGGAGGCGUAGGCCAUGCACUUGUCUUGAAAUCUGCAGCUUUUUCUCACCUUUUCUUUUUAACUUUGGGUGGAAGAGGGUAUUCGUAUACUGUUUUGUUUUACUUUUAGUGGAAUUCACUUACAUACUCAUUCAUCAGAUACUUGGCAUGUCAAACAAAGAAUUUCCCCAUGGUUUUAAUCUGCCCUGUUAUGGGCUGCUCCUCAUCUUACGUGUCAAGAAGUGACUGGUUGGUUGAUUGGUUGGUUGAUUGAUUGAUUGAUGAUUGAAUUCAUGAGCUGAGGGGAAUGGCCUUGCACUACGGGGGCUGGUGCUGCUGCAGUUGGCAGCAGUGGGCUGUCCUAGGUACUCUUGACACCAGCUUUGUCUGGACACCAGAACACUUACGACCCAAGUGGGAUUUAAAGUACGCUUUUACUUUUUAAAAUCCACUUGUUGGCACUUCACAGAACGGUUUCCUUCUCUUCUCCUUCUUAGGAAAGACAAAAUUUUGUAAGCCCAGAAGCAACAAGCGACAGUGAGAUUGCCAUUUCUGUCCCCUACCUUCCCACCAUCUGUCACCUUCCCUUCCAGUUUAAGGAGCCCCAUAAGUUGUUUGUUUUUAUUUUUUUCAAUGUUUGCAAAUCAGACUAAACCUAAAUGUGCUGAUGAGAUACACGGAGCACUGAGCGGCGUGUCUGCCGAAAUCAUUUGAAAUUCCUGAUUUUGAGAGACCAAGUGAGUGUUUACUGAGGAAUAAUUAAAUCAGGAUUUCAUUGAGCUGCAAUGACCCUCUCUUUCAGUUUCAUCUUGCAUUGAUUAAUGAUGCCUGAAUACUCGUUUUCCAUGCUUGGUGCCAGGAGUAUCUGUGGCUCCCAGAGUGUCAGCAUGGAGAGACACUGCUGAGCUUGGCUGUGUUCCACCCCAUUCCCAAGGAGGAAGUCUCCAGUAAAAUCAGCGUCCGCUCAGGUGGACCGUCAGCAGCUUUGAGCUGCCUGUUUUAGCGUUUGUAAAUAUAGAUAAUUUAUAUGAUUAUGACAUAUCCAUACUUGAAUUGGUUUUUCCAUAUCUUGCCCAUUAGCAGAUACUAUUUUGCCUAUUUUCACAAAUUAAACCUAUGUGACUACUUUUUUCCUGAAAGCAAAACGGUAAUAUUAAUUGCUCUGUAGCGCUGCUGCUCAGUUUGAUUCAGUGUGCUGUCAUUUUAAAAGGAGCUUUAUUUUCCCAUGGAGACUGUUCUGUAGUAAGAGAGGUUUGGUUUUUUGUUUUGUUUUGUUUUGUUUUAAUUAUAUUUAUGAUGUGAAAAUCCAACAGCAGUCUUUUUACUGAUAUUUCCCUGUGUUCUACAUAGAUUACCUGCAGACAAAAAAGAAAAAGAAAUAAAGGCAGGCAGACAGAGAGAGAGAGAGAGAGAGAGAGAGAACUUUCUAGAGAAACCUAUAGGGUGUCAUCUGGUGCAGCCAAAAUUUCCAUCCCUGUUUUUCAGAGGAGGGUAAAGGAUACACUCACCCCACCCCACCCCCGCCUCCUUAUAUGGAGAUAGAUAGUCUGAGGAUUCUUGAUGUCCUGGGAUUGUCUUCUAAGAUAAAGGGUCUUACACCCAGAAAGAUUAAAUUUCACCUAUCCAAAAAAAGUUUUGUUUUUCAAGGAAGUUCACGCUGACACCAGACUUCUCUGUGUAGAUCUGCGUAGAGCAUACACUCCCAAAUAAGGCAAGCACCCCCGCCAGUCAGAGGUCAUAACCUUACAAACUCAGCUCAAGUGCAGGUGGAAACUCAUAAACCACAGGCCUUCAGUGGCGGUCAAGCCACCUGUCGCUUUGCCUUCAGUUUCCAGGUGAAGUCCUGUUCCCCCUCACCCCAGCCCCCUGCCAGAGGAAGAAAGAGGUGUCAACCUGCAACGGCAGCCAAGCUGACUUGGACAAUUUCUGUAAAGUCACUUUCUCCCGAGGAAAGGUUUUCAAGUUAGAUAACAGGUAUGGUUUUGAGACGUUGUUGUUCAUCCAAGUAGAAUGAUACAGUUGAGAGAGAAGGAAGCUUCUUCAAGGUCAACUCUGUGUGUUCAGCUUUGGUGGCCGUCACACAAAAGAGGAAGCCCACCCCACCCCUACCCCCACCUGUACAUAGGGAAAUCACCAGCCACUCAGUCUGGUCUCAGCCUGACCAGUCGCCUUUUCCACUAGGUUUCCAGAAGUCAAGCCCUAGUGACAUGCCUCCAUAGGUGAUAUUUUUUUCAGUUGUUUGUGUCAUUUUCUUACACACACACACACACAAAAAUCAGAGUGAAUGGGAUAUAGCUCUGAGUAUUUUUCUAAUGUUUUUUAUUAUUAAUAAUAAUAAACGGUGCUGCUGGGUCAUGCACACUGCGUGCACACUGCGGCUCUCAACAUUUCUUCAAUUUCUUUCAGCUUUUGCAAAAAGGGCUACAGUUCACACUGCAGAACAAGAACUAAGCUUUCUAGGUCUUCUCCCCCCCCCAUCCCCGUCCCCCGUACUUUUGUGGCCCGAAAGAAUUAAAAUCAUUUAAUAUAAAUAGCAUAUUUAUAUCAUUCCUCAAUAGUUAAUUAUAGGGUUUGGUACCUUUGUGCCUCAGGGAAGCCACAUGAUCUAACUGGUUAUAGACUUUCAGGGUUAGGGCAUAGAGAAAGGAGAAAGCCAUUGGAAACAUGAUGGACUCCAUUAAGGAGACGAGCUAAUCUAGGUGCAGAAGAAUGCCAGGACUAGCAUAAAUGUGAUUGUAGUAGAACUUGUUUCCCAGUGCUAGUAGGGAAAUCGUUUUAAGUUAUUACAUAUACCGUAUUCGGAGAGUCGAGAACUCUCCUAAAGCAGCAAGGCCCCCUGCAUGUGUACUAAGAGUUGUUCCAUGAUCUCACUCCUGCUUUCCUUCUUCAAAACAGUUCUUUUCUUGAGGUGGGCACCAGAGGCGGGCAGUCAUGGCACUCUCGGUCCUGACGUUAUGCAGCCUUGCCACUCACGGUGGGAAUUCAGACAGACAAGCCCCAGGCCCUUGAUUUCACCAGAUGUGAUUCUGUUCUGGGAGCUGCCAAUCCCCUGAUCCCAGAGCUCUGCCUUUGGGCUGAAGGUCUGACGCUCCUGUGGUGGUGAGCAUAGGUCAUAGCUCCAGCUGUUGCUUGAUAGCCCAAGGCCAAUGAGAUCACUUCAGGACAUUUGUAAAGCAAGCUAAACAUUUCGGAAGGAGUAAAAACGGAAGAGUUCUGUCAUUACUUUUCAGUAACAGGUCCUCAAAAAUACCUGCCCUCACGACUCCCUAGUGGGCAGUAGGGGAAAACGAAUAUAUUUUCCAGGUUGCUUAACUUUCUAAACAAAAAUGAACAAUGCUGAAAAGGAUGCUCUGCCUUUUAAGAUGAGAUCACAGAUUGCUUCUCUGUGUUAAAUAAUCUAGAAGUCAGGGGGCUGGUCGGAUUUACCAUGUAUAGUGUUAUGAGCAGUUAAAUUUUAUGGCUAUAUUUGUAAAAUCUGUUCUUUUAUAUUUCGUGUCAAAUUGAAAACUUUAUUUCUUCACUGUUGUACCUGUGGAAAUACAAGCCAUUUUACAGGGAAAAAAAAUCUUCAAAAGCUAUUAAACAAAUCUCACCAUGUUUGUAAGUUGUCUUUAGACUCUUCUUAUCUGUCACUGGCUUUACGGGGACGCUCGGUAGGACAUGGAUGCAAACCUAGACUUUAUUUAUACAUUUCUGCAGCUUCCACAUGAAUCCCUAACAGACAGGAUUAUUGUUUCGUUAUCCUCUGCACACUGCAUCUUUGAUCUGAGUUCUGAAAUCGCCCAAAUUUUUUAUUAAAGAAACUUCAUUUUAUUAAGGAAA